GAUGAACGCUGGCGGCGUGCCUAAUACAUUCAAGUCGAGCGAACGGACGAGAAGCUUGCUUCUCUGAUGUUAGCGGCGGACGGGUGAGUAACACGUUGAUAACCUACCUAUAAGACUGGGAUAACUUCGGGAAACCGGAGCUAAUACCGGAUAAUAUUUUGAACCGCAUGGUUCAAUAGUGCAAGACGGUCUUGCUGUCACUUAUAGAUGGAUCCGCGCUGCAUUAGCUAGUUGGUAAGGUAACGGCUUACCAAGGCAACGAUGCAUAGCCGACCUGAGAGGGUGAUCGGCCACACUGGAACUGAGAAACGGUCCAGACUCCUACGGGAGGCAGCAGUAGGGAAUCUUCCGCAAUGGGCGAAAGCCUGACGGAGCAACGCCGCGUGAGUGAUGAAGGUCUUCGGAUCGUAAAACUCUGUUAUUAGGGAAGAACAUAUGUGUAAGUAACUGUGCACAUCUUGACGGUACCUAAUCAGAAAGCCACGGCUAACUACGUG
rnacentral:rRNA from 1 species